ensembl:lncRNA
GCAAUCUGGAGGGAACUUCCAGGUUUCCACGCCGGCUGUGACGGACACUUAGAAGCGGGUGAGAUAGAUAUCAGAGUGCAGGAGCCCAGGAACAGAUCCAAGACCUGAAACACAAGGAGAGUGGAAAGAAAGCAUUGUGAAAUCUGGAGGGAACCUCCAGCUUUCCACGCCAGCUGUGAUGGAUGCUUACAAGCGGGUGAGAUGGAUAUCAGAGUGCAGGAGCCCAGGAACAGAUCCAAGACCUGAAACACAAGGAGAGUGGAAAGAAAGCGUUGUGAAAUCUGGAGGAAACCUCCAGGUUUCCACGCCAGCUGUGAUGGAUGCUUACAAGUGGGUGAGAUGGAUAUCAGAGUGCAGGAGCCCAGGAACAGGUCCAAGACCUGAAACACAAGGAGAUUGGAAAGAAAGCGUUGUGAAACCCGAUGUCAAAUAGCAAUGCCAAAAUAGAUUCCCUGCUGUGAUGUCAAAUAUCAAUACCAGACUUGUCUCUCUGCUGUGAUGUCAAAUAUCCAUGCCAGAUUCGCCUCUCUGCUGUGAUGUCAAAUAUCAAAACCAGAAUCAUGAUUUUGCUGUGAUGUCAACAAUUAAUUCCAGACUCGACUCUCUCCUGUGAUGUCAAAUAUCAAUGCCAGACUCGCGUCUCUACUGUGAUGUCAAAUAUCAAUACCAGACUAGUCUCUCUGCUGUGAUGUCAACAAUUAAUUCUAGACUCGCGUCUCUGCUGUGAUGUCAAAUAUCUCACACGGGGUGUGUCUGACGUGAAUUAUGAGUGAUCGCCAAUGUCAGGGCGUGACUGUUUUGUGACUUAUCAGCAAUCGCCACUCGCACGCCGUGCUUGUUAUGUGACAUAUGAGCAAUCGCCAGUAGUUGGGCGUGUCUGUGACAAAAUUUAUCAGCAAUCGCUGCUCACACGGGGUGUCCGACGUGAAGUAUGAGUGAUCGCCGAUCACAGGGCGUGUCUCUGACGUGACUUAUCAGCAAUCGCCGCUCGCCGGGCGUGUCUGUGACGUGACGUAUUAGCGAUCGCCAAUGUCAGGGCGUGACUGUGACAUAACUUAUCAGCAAUCGCCGCUCGCCGGGCGUGUCUGUGACGUAACGUAUUAGCGAUCACCAAUGUCAGGGCGUGACUGUUUUGUGACUUAUCAGCAAUCGCCACUCGCAGGCCAUGUUUGUUAUGUGACGUAUGAGCAAUCGCCAAUAGUUGGGCGUGUCUGUGACAUAACUUAUCAGCAAUCGCCACUCGCCGGGCGUGUCUGUGACGUAACGUAUUAGCGAUCACCAAUGUCAGGGCGUGACUGUUUUGUGACUUAUCAGCAAUCGCCACUCGCAGGCCAUGUUUGUUAUGUGACGUAUGAGCAAUCGCCAAUAGUUGGGCGUGUCUGUGACAUAACUUAUCAGCAAUCGCCACUCACACGGGGUGUGUCUGACGUGAAGUAUGAGCUAUCGCCGAGCACAGGGCGUGUCUCUGCUUUGAUGUCAAAUAUCAACACCAGAUUCUACUCUCUGCUGUGAUGUCAAAUAUCAAUACCAGACUUG